rnacentral:lncRNA from 1 species
UCCGUCUCAUCUGCGAUACAUAAACUGUAUUUUCCAAAACAAGAUAAAAACCAGACUCUAAAGUUAACUUCACUACUCCUAUGAGUUCAAUCUUCACUUGGAAUCCAUUUGCAACGCUCAAGCUUACUUCAUUCUCACUUGGCCUCCGUUUACUUAUGAACCCCUGCAAGGAAUUCGCAAUAUGAAUACUAGCUCCUGAGUCUAACCACCAAGAAUUCAAAGGUACAUCUACUAAAGAAGACUCAAAACAAACUAAGGCCAAGGGAAUACCUGAAGAAUUCUUCUUCUUUUCCAACCAAGUCUUGAACUUAAAACAGUCUUUCUGCCAGUGACCCUUCUUUUUACAGAACCUGCAUUGAUCAUUUUUCUUUAUAACUGCUUUGGGACCACUAAAAUUAUUAUUUUGCUGACUUCGAUGGGACUUAUUACCCUUACGAAACUUAGAUUUAUGAUUAAUGAGAAGGCCCCUUAUUCUGUGAUGGCUGAAAAGCUAAUUGUACAGUUUCAACAGUUUCAC